rnacentral:rRNA from 1 species
AUACGGAGGGUGCAAGCGUUAAUCGGAUUUACUGGGCGUAAAGCGCGCGUAGGCGGUUUGGUAAGUCGGAUGUGAAAUCCCAGGGCUCAACCUUGGAACUGCAUUCGAUACUGCCUCACUAGAGUAUGGUAGAGGGAAGUGGAAUUCCGGGUGUAGCGGUGAAAUGCGUAGAUAUCCGGAGGAACAUCAGUGGCGAAGGCGACUUCCUGGCCCAAUACUGACGCUGAGGUGCGAAAGCGUGGGGAGCAAACAGGAUUAGAUACCCCAGUAGUCC